UACGUAGGGUGCAAGCGUUUAUCCGGAAAUUAUUGGGCGUAAAGAGCUCGUAGGCGGUUUUGUCGCGUCUGCUGUGAAAACUGGAGGCUCAACCUCCAGUCUGCAGUGGGUACGGGCAGACUAGAGUGCGGUAGGGGAGAUUGGAAUUCCUGGUGUAAGCGGUGGAAUGCGUAGAGAUCGGAGGAACACCAGCGGCGAAGGCGGCAUCCUGGACUGGUACUGACGCUCAGGAGCGAA
rnacentral:rRNA from 1 species